rnacentral:rRNA from 1 species
GACGAACGCUGGCGGCGUGCUUAACACAUGCAAGUCGAACGGAAAGGCCCUGCUUUUGUUGGGUGCUCGAUUGGCGAACGCGUGUGUAACACGUGAGUAACCUGCCCUUGACUUUGUGAUAACUUCAGGAAACUCGGGCUAAUACCCGAUAUGAUCUCCUGCUGCAUGUUGGGGGUUGGAAAGUUGCGGCGGUUGUGGAUGGUCUCGCGGCUUAUCAGCUUGUUGGUGUGGUAGUGGCUUACGAAGGCUUUGACGGGUAGCCGGCAUGGGAGGGUGACCGGCGACAAGGCGACUGAGGGAGGGACCAGAAGGGUAAGGGAGGCAGUAGGGGGGAAUAUUGCAGAAUAGGCGGAAGCGUGAUGCAGCAACGUCGCGAGCGGGAUGAUGGGCUUCGGGUGGUAAACAGAUGUGGAAUGUGACGAAGAGUGAGUGACGGUAAUGGGUAAAGAAGCACCGGCUAACUACGUG